ACGAACGCUGGCGGCGUGCUUAACACCUGCAAGUCGAACGGAAAGGCCCUGCUUUUGUGGGGUGCUCGAGUGGCGAACGGGUGAGUAACACGUGAGUAACCUGCCCUUAACUUUGGGAUAACUUCAGGAAACUGGGGCUAAUACCGGAUAGGAGCUCCUGCUGCAUGGUGGGGGUUGGAAAGUUUCGGCGGUUGGGGAUGGACUCGCGGCUUAUCAGCUUGUUGGUGGGGUAGUGGCUUACCAAGGCUUUGACGGGUAGCCGGCCUGAGAGGGUGACCGGCCACAUUGGGACUGAGAUACGGCCCAGACUCCUACGGGAGGCAGCAGUGGGGAAUAUUGCACAAUGGGCGGAAGCCUGAUGCAGCAACGCCGCGUGCGGGAUGACGGCCUUCGGGUUGUAAACCGCUUUCGCCUGUGACGAAGCGUGAGUGACGGUAAUGGGUAAAGAAGCACCGGCUAACUACGUG
rnacentral:rRNA from 1 species